AAGGUAACGGCUUACCAAGGCAACGAUGCAUAGCCGACCUGAGAGGGUGAUCGGCCACACUGGAACUGAGACACGGUCCAGACUCCUACGGGAGGCAGCAGUAGGGAAUCUUCCGCAAUGGGCGAAAGCCUGACGGAGCAACGCCGCGUGAGUGAUGAAGGUCUUCGGAUCGUAAAACUCUGUUAUUAGGGAAGAACAUAUGUGUAAGUAACUGUGCACAUCUUGACGGUACCUAAUCAGAAAGCCACGGCUAACUACGUGCCAGCAGCCGCGGUAAUACGUAGGUGGCAAGCGUUAUCCGGAAUUAUUGGGCGUAAAGCGCGCGUAGGCGGUUUUU
rnacentral:rRNA from 1 species